AACGAACGCUGGCGGCGUGCCUAAUACAUGCAAGUCGAACGAGAUCUUCGGAUCUAGUGGCGCACGGGUGCGUAACGCGUGGGAAUCUGCCCUUGGGUUCGGAAUAACUUCUGGAAACGGAAGCUAAUACCGGAUGAUGACGUAAGUCCAAAGAUUUAUCGCCCAAGGAUGAGCCCGCGUAGGAUUAGGUAGUUGGUGAGGUAAAGGCUCACCAAGCCGACGAUCCUUAGCUGGUCUGAGAGGAUGAUCAGCCACACUGGGACUGAGACACGGCCCAGACUCCUACGGGAGGCAGCAGUAGGGAAUAUUGGACAAUGGGCGAAAGCCUGAUCCAGCAAUGCCGCGUGAGUGAUGAAGGCCUUAGGGUUGUAAAGCUCUUUUACCCGGGAUGAUAAUGACAGUACCGGGAGAAUAAGCUCCGGCUAACUCCGUG
rnacentral:rRNA from 1 species